rnacentral:rRNA from 1 species
CAGCCGCCGCGGUAACACCUGCAGCCCAAGUGGUGGUCGAUUUUAUUGAGUCUAAAACGUUCGUAGCCGGUUUAGGUAAAUCUUUGGGUAAAUCGGGAAGCUUAACUUUCCGACUUCCGAAGAGACUGUCAAACUUGGGACCGGGAGAGGCUAGAGGUACUUCUGGGGUAGGGGUAAAAUCCUGUAAUCCUAGAAGGACCACCGGUGGCGAAGGCGUCUAGCUAGAACGGAUCCGACGGUGAGGGACGAAGCCCUGGGUCGCAAACGGGAUUAGAUACCCCGGUAGUCCAGGGUGUAAACGCUGCAGACUUGGUGUUGGAGGCCCUUCGGGGGCAUUCAGUGCCGGAGAGAAGUUGUUAGGUCUGCUACUUGGGGAGUACGUCCGCAAGGAUGAAACUUAAAGGAAUUGGCGG